UAGUCCGGCAGGCUCGGGGACGCCGGGUCGGAUCGGGUUGCGCUUGGGGUAUCAGACUGAAGGUGCACCGGGAGCCAGCGGCGGCGGCGGCGUCUACGCGGUCACCGAUGUCUCGAUCGCGACGCGGUCGGCGUAGAGGACGUCCUCCGUCUUCUCGGCCUCCUCCCACAGCUCCGGCAGCGCCUCCCUGAUGUUGUGGAUGCUCUCCAGCGCGUGAUCCGCGCCCUUCACCCGGUGUGACGUGCCAACCAGCACCGUGUGGAGGCCAAUUCGCUUGCCUGCCUGAAUGUUGCGCACGCUGUCGUCGAAGAAAAUC
rnacentral:lncRNA from 1 species